UGUGUUCAUUGUGCUUAGAGCUGAUGAUAAUGGUGAAGGUGGAACUUUUGCUUUGUAUUCACUCCUUUGUAGACAUGCUAAGGUUAAUUCAUUGCCCAGUUGUCAGUUAGCUGAUGAAGAGUUAUCAAGUUAUAAGAGAGAUAUAAUUAGUCCUGCCCCAACCACUUUUGGUGCCACACUUAAGUCAACUCUUGAGAGGUAUAGAGUUUUGCAGAGAUUUCUGCUUGUAUUGGCUUUACUUGGAGCUUGUAUGGUUAUUGGAGAUGGUAUCCUCACACCUGCUCUUUCAGGUAUGCCAAUGUUUUUUUUGUAGUUCAUAAGAUUGAAUUUUCGAGGGUCUAUUGGAAACCGCCUCUCUACUCUCUCAGGAAGGGGUAAGGUCUGCGUACACACUACCCUCCCCAGACCCCACUUGUGUAAUUUUACUUGGUCGUUGUUGUUGUUGUCAUAAGAUUGAAUGGCCAAUUCGGGUUUGACCUUCGAUAUGAUAGGAUAUAAUUAGUCCUGCCCCAACUACUUUUGGUGCCACACUUAAGUCAACUCUUGAGAGGUAUAGAGUUUUGCAGAGAUUUCUGCUUGUAUUGGCUUUACUUGGCGCUUGUAUGGUUAUUGGAGAUGGUAUCCUCACACCUGCUCUUUCAGGUAUGCCAAUGUUCGUUUUUGUAGUUCAUAAGAUUGAAUUGACAAUGGUCUAUCAGAAACAGUCUCUCUGCUCCCGGGGCAGGGGUAAGCUAUGCUUACACACUACCCUCCCGGACCUAGGGGCGAAGGCAUGUGUCUGAUAGGGUGGUCAACUUUGUCAGAAAAUUACACUGUGCAUAUAGGUAAAAUAUUAGGUUUUAAAGGUAUAUAAAAUUUAAUCAACUCUCUGUCGGAAAUUUUUUUCCACUUAUUUCAAGUUUGAACACCCUUAAGAAAUUUUUGGCUUCGCCACUACCCAAUCCCCACUUGUGGUAUUUUACUUGGUUGUUGUUGUUGUCAUAAGAUUGAAUGGCCAAUUCUGGUUCGACCUUCGAUAUGAUUAUUUUUGCUGUUAAAUCACGAGUUAUCGCAAGUAAAAAAACUGAUGAGAUUAUGGGAGUAAAUAUUCUCUACCUAUGCAGCUGGGUAGAUAGAGAAUACCUUGGACGCGAGGUAUCUCUCUCUAA
rnacentral:lncRNA from 1 species